rnacentral:rRNA from 1 species
GUCUACGGCCAUGCCACCCUGAACAUGUCCGAUCUUUUCUGAUCUCGGAAGCUAAGCAGGGUCGGGCCUGGUUAGUACUUGGAUGGGAGACCACGUAGGAAGACCAGGUCCUGUAGGCG